UCCAGAGGGGGCAAGCGUUGUUCGGAAUUACUGGGCGUAAAGCGCGUGUAGGCGGCUUGGCAAGUCGGUUGUGAAAGCCCGGGGCCCAACCCCGGAACUGCAUCUGAAACUGCCUAGCUAGAGUCCCGGAGAGGAAGGCAGAAUUCCCGGUGUAGGGGUGAAAUCCGUAGAUAUCGGGAGGAAUACCAGCGGCGAAGGCGGCCUUCUGGACGGUGACUGACGCUGAGACGCGAAAGCGUGGGGAGCAAACAGG
rnacentral:rRNA from 1 species